GUGAUUUGUGAGAUCCUGGUGCACCCAUCACCUGAGCAGUAUACACUGCACUGUAUUUGUUGUCUCUUUUCCCUCGUUCCCCUCCCACUCUUCCCCCCAAGUCCCCAAAGUCCAUAGUAUCAUUCUUAUGCCUUUGCACCCUCAUAGCUUAGCUCCCACAUAUCAGUGAGAACAUAGGAUGUUCGGUUUUCCAUUCCUGAGUUAUUUCACUUAAAAUAAUAGUCUCCAAUCUCAUCCAGGUCAUUGCAAAUGCUGUUAAUUCAUUCCUUUUUAUGGCCGAGUAGUAGUCCAUCGUAUACGUAUACACCACAGUUUCUUUAUCCACUCGUUGAUUGAUGGGCAUUUGGGUUGGUUCCUUC
rnacentral:lncRNA from 10 species